AAUAAUUAUUAUUAUUUUAAAACCUGUCAGAUGACUAAUAAAUGACAGUGGACCACAAGGCGAUUCUAUCUAUGCCUCCUCUUGAAUUGCGUCAUGUUUUAGUCAGCAGGGGCUUGUAAUGCUGCGUAGCAUGAUAAGCAUGAUAAGGUGCAAGGAGCAGAAAAAGUUGGCAUGGGUGCUAAAAAAAAUGCUGGCAUUAAUUUAUCAGCUGAGGGCAUGUUCAUUGCCAUAACAAUGUGAGCUAAUCAACAAGUACAACAUGUUCUAAUACUAUGAGACUCAUGGAAACGCCCUCAGCUUAUAAAAGGUGUGUGUGUGUGUGUGUGGGGGGCGGCAGGCGGGAAUUAGUUUCUUAUUUUUUAUUUUAAUAAGUUAUUUAUUUUAUUUUAAAUAAACAUAAUACCAAGGGUCAAAAGUUUUACAAGAAUUUUGAUCGUACAAAGUCAUGACAGAGAGUCUUUAUUCAUGCUGGAAAGAUGAACAUAUGUUAUUUUUUUUGAAAGGGAAUAACAUGAUGAAGCUGACAAGUGACCAAUGUUUACUGUUUAAAAAUAUUAAUAUCAAACCCCAGUGAAUCAUAUGCUCUUGUUUCUCUAUUUUGAGAUUCACACAGACUAGCAGUCUUGUUUAAAUGUUACAAAUUGAGUUAAUAAACUGAACUUGGAAAUUGUUUAAGUUGUUGCAGAUGUUAUCUCUGCUAAUUUUAUUAAUAUAAAUAAAUAAAUUAUUAGCAGGUUCUCAAUAGUAGGCUUUUUCAAUUCAGGGAGUGUGUGAAAAAAUUUAUGAAAAUAAGCACCCUUUUUUUUGCAUGAGAACAAGAUCUUUUUGCAUCAGAAGUUUUAGAAAAAAUUAUGGGUCCCUUAAAGUGAGACAAAGUAGUUUAUUGCUCACGAAAUAGGGCAUGUUUCUCAUAUUAUUAAUCUAGCACAUGUUGUACCCAUGUGUUUCAGUAACGGUGUAAAUAAAAAAAAGGGGGAAAUAUGGUCAUUUUUGAGUGAAACUUACACAAAGGAAAUUUAAUAUACCUCAAAUUUGUUAUUACAGUUCACAUCCAUUGAUUAUUCCUUCAUCCAAACAGUCUUUUUUCCUUUCAUCACUUUAGUGAUUCAGAACUGCAUUAUUUAGCAGACACUGACAGCUUUUGGCUUAGACAUACAACAGCAUAGUAACUAAUAAAAUAAAGGUUGUGGAAUAAAAAAAUCUUGGACAGGACUUUAUAUACUUCAUAUACCCCUGUGGCUUCCUGGGGUAGAGCCCCCCCAAAAGUCAGAACCUAGAAUCGCCCCUGUAGCUCACAAUGUGGAGACACGUGGAGGGCGGACUACUUGGUCCAAGAGGAUUAUUGGAUGGCCAUGGCAGCCCUGACGGCUAAGAGAAGCAGGGACCCUAAAACUCAGGUCGAUUAUACCAUUCUUUUGAAUAGUAACCUCAUAUCGCACGUGAAUUUGAGUGCUGUCAUCAUGUUUGACUUACUCAAAGGCCAUCCUAAAUCUUCUAUUAAUCCUACUUCAAAUUAGAUAAUGACGGAGGAAA
ensembl:lncRNA